UUGGACAGAUGAGAAGACUGAGGCUCAGAGAGAUUGAGACGUUUGUCCAAGGUCACACAGCCUUGAUACACACUGCUACUUCCCUACAGCCCAUUGCUAAUAAGCAAGUAACACUUUAUGGCACAGACAAGGUUUACAAACAGGAGGAGGCCUUUGAUCAGAACCAACCCCCGGGGUCCGGAGUGUUUAUUGUUCCAAGCUGCAAGUCAGGACCGGACUCUGCUUUGAACUCCAGCAGGAAGACUGAGGACAUACAGAAAAGCACACACAUCAUAAUAUGUAUGCACCUUGAUGAAGUUUUACAACCGAAUCCACCCAUGUAAUGAGCACUGAGCUCAAGAAAUAGACCUGACCCGUUUCCCAGGUGCCCCCAGAGCCUGCUCCAAGCCACUGCCCCUCUCCGAAGCCAGUCUCCUAACGUCAGGACUGUAUU